rnacentral:lncRNA from 1 species
GUGGAUCGUUGGCUUUAAAGAGUGGAUUUUCUUCUGAAACCAUCGAAUAAAUAAGACAGGCAGAAGAACUAAGUGGCAGGGAGGAUGGGCUCCUUCCUGCGUUACCAGAGGUUGCUCAGGGAAUACUGGGAUAUUUGUCAAUUCCUCUCCAUUAGAAACCGAACACAUUCAGAGGAAAAGAUGAGAAGUGAAAAACCCAUGAAGAUCAGCUGAAAGGAUGGGAAUUAUCAUUCAGGUAACCCAGCUACCUUAACGCUGUCACCAUGGAGAUCCCCCAUUAUCUGCUGCUCUUUGCAUGCAAAGUGCUGAGAAACACUGGUUUGGUAAUUGGCAUCAUAU